rnacentral:rRNA from 1 species
CGGUAGAUUACUUUCGGGUAAUUGAGAGCGGCGUACGGGUGCGGAACACGUGUGCAACCUGCCUUUAUCAGGGGGAUAGCCUUUCGAAAGGAAGAUUAAUACCCCAUAAUAUAUUAUUCGGCAUCGGGUGAUAUUGAAAACUACGGUGGAUAGAGAUGGGCACGCGCAAGAUUAGCUAGUUGGUGAGGUAACGGCUCACCAAGGCGACGAUCUUUAGGGGGCCUGAGAGGGUGAUCCCCCACACUGGUACUGAGACACGGACCAGACUCCUACGGGAGGCAGCAGUGAGGAAUAUUGGACAAUGGGUGAAAGCCUGAUCCAGCCAUCCCGCGUGCAGGAAGACGGCCCUAUGGGUUGUAAACUGCUUUUAUCUGGGGAUAAACCUACUUACGUGUAAGUAGCUGAAGGUACCAGAAGAAUAAGCACCGGCUAACUCCGUGCCAGCAGCCGCGGUAAUACGGAGGGUGCAAGCGUUAUCCGGAUUUAUUGGGUUUAAAGGGUCCGUAGGCGGACUGAUAAGUCAGUGGUGAAAUCCGACAGCUUAACUGUCGAACUGCCAUUGAUACUGUUAGUCUUGAGUAAGGUUGAAGUGGCUGGAAUAAGUAGUGUAGCGGUGAAAUGCAUAGAUAUUACUUAGAACACCAAUUGCGAAGGCAGGUCACUAAGUCUUAACUGACGCUGAUG